AUACGUAGGUGGCAAGCGUUGUCCGGAAUUAUUGGGCGUAAAGCGCGCGCAGGCGGCUUCUUAAGUCUGAUGUGAAAUUCUGCAGCUCAACUGCAGGCGGGCAGUGGAAACUGGGUAGCUUGAGUACAGAAGAGGAGAGUAGAAUUCCACGUGUAGCGGUGAAAUGCGUAGAGAUGUGGAGGAAUACCAGUGGCGAAGGCGGCUCUCUGGUCUGUUACUGACGCUGAGGUGCGAAAGCGUGGGGAGCGAACAGGAUUAGAUACCCUGGUAGGCCAGGCGGUAAACGAUGGAUGCCAGGUGUUAGGGGGGUCCAACCCCUUAGUGCUGAAGUUAACACAUUAAGCAUUCCGCCUGGGGAGUACGGCCGCAAGGCUGAA
rnacentral:rRNA from 1 species